GAGGAAGUGAAUGCUCCGUGUCUUUACUGCUGCUGCUUCCAUCCUGUCUUCUACAGGGAUGAGAUCAACAAAGCUCCAAAAGCUGACUCCGGUGGAUCUGCCAGCUCUGAGGCCGCUGCCGCUGUUAGCUGUCAUUAACUGACCUAGCUGCAACUCCACCCAAUAAUCUCCGCCGCUGUUGACUUGGAAAACUCGAUUCGAUAGAAUAUUGCCGUCCGUAGUAAACUUGUUUUAGUGUCGUUCCCUCGAUCACAGAGCAAGUGUUCGUUUCCCUCUUUUCAUCCCCAUUCCAACGGACAUUCAACAAUCAUGAAGGAAGAAAUGGAUCUCAGAAACGGCAGACGGACCAAUUUGUCUUCCCACUGUAGCCUUGGAAAAGAACAUCCUGCUCCUGCUUGGUUUUGAUUAAUGGCAGAGACUGUAGAAAAAAAGUUAACAUUCCCCGCUGCUUUUCUGAUUUCUAUUGCUCAGAUGUGACGCUUCUGGCUCUAGAUGAAACUUUUCUUUUGUAGAUUAAAGAAAAUAUCUACAGAUCUAGCUCCGGAUUUAUAGGAGAAAAUAGGAGAACCACUUGCUCCUCCCCAUACUUCCCCACUUCUCCUUCUCCUCCUUCUCCUUCUUCUUUCUCUUCUUCAGUUCUUUGCUCUCCUUCUUCUCCUUCUUCUCUCUCUCCAGUUGCGCUUUCUUUUCCUGCUUAUUCGUUUCUUUCUUGUCCUUCUUUUCUCUCUUCUUCAGUUCUAUGCUCUCCAUCUUCUCCUUCUUCUCUCUCUCCAGUUGCUCUUUCUUCUCCUUUUUCUCAUUUUCGACCUUCACAUUGUCCGAGUCGGUCUCAAAGGUGAGAUUCUGAAAAGAAAGAGACACAACAAAAGUGUCAACAUUUUCAAAUGUCAAAUGUAUGCUGAUGACACUGUUAUCCAUGUGUCCAGUAAAACACCCAGCUUAGCAGGUGAGCACCUGACACAAGCAUUACUCAGCAUUUCAAAAUGGCUUGAGCUGUCUCAGUUGACCAUUAAUGUGAAGAAAACCGUCUCUAUGUGCUUCUCCAUCCGUAAUAGGCCUAUCACCGAUGUUUUCAAGGUACGGAUCAAAAAUGAAUUAAUUGAAUCAGUAAAUGAAGUAAAAUAUCUGGGCAUCAUCCUGGAUCAGAAUUUAAAAUUUGUUACGCAAAUUAAGUAUGUUGCAAAAAAGGCAAAACUAAAUCUAAACUGUUUCCGUUUCAUAAGAAGGGACUUGUCAUGUCAAACGGCCAAAUUAUUUAUGCACGCUAUGAUAUUUUCUCAUUUGUCAUAUUGUAUCACAUCAUGGUCACAAGCUUCUUCUACUGCAUUAAAACCUAUCUUCUCAAUAUACAAACAGACAAUAAAAGUCAUGGAUCGGAAACCCAUGAGAUGGCAUCACUGCAGCAUUCUAAAAAAACACAACCUUUUCACCUUUGAUAACUUUAUUAAUUUUAGUCAUCUUCAAUUGUUUUUCAAGUGUGUAAAUAACCAUGUGUCACCACUGUUGUCUGAAUUGGCCAUCAGACGUCAGAGCUCUCGUCGGGCAAAUACACGAGCCUCCAUCAAUGGUGAUUGUCUUGUUCCCAUGCACAGGACAUCUUUCGGUCAGUCUGUCUUCUCUGCAAAGGGGGCAAAACUAUGGAACCUCUUGCCCACUAUUCUAAAACUAGAGACUAACAGCAACACUUUUAACAGAGAACUAAAACAACGGCUCAAAUCAAAUCAACAGUGCUCACACAAAUAAUUUACAACUGGUUAUUGUUUGAUCAUGCUGCCUAUGUUCUCUACGUAGCCUAUAUAUAUAUAUUCAACUCAUUAUAUUGCUGCUCUGUACUAUACUGUAUACUGCAUUUUUACUCUUUUUAAUUAUCACUAUCAGUUUUUUAUCAGUAAUUGAUCUUGUUUCUGUCUUGUUCAGUUUCUUUUGUUGUUUUCAAAAAGCCUCCUGUGGACAGGUGUUGUAAACUAGCAUUUAUGCUAAUACACUGUAAACAAUGCAUCUGGUUCGUCCAAUGACAUUGUCAUGUCCAUGUCCAAAUAAAAUAAAAUCAAUCAAUCUUC